CAACAGGCGCAAACGUACGUCAGCUUCUUCUGACGAAUGACGUUACUACGUCACUGACGCCAGGUGAAGUCACCAGGUGAAGUCGGCCUCCUUUGAUUUGGAAACUCACAACUUGCCGCGAGAGUUAGCAAGUUUGGGAACCUCGGUACUGAUGCAAGCUGCCAUGUUUGUUUGUAUGACUGCUUCGUUAGCAGCUACGGAGGAGACAUUAGUGGGAAUUUAGUCAACAACAACAACAACAACAACAACAACAACAACAAGUCUAGAAGGGGACCCGAGAGACGCUUUGGCUGAAGGAGGACGGUCUUUCAUCUUAACACUGAGGCAGUGCCGUGGAACUUUUGUGUGAUCAUGUGGUCGUAAUUUAAAGGGACUCCGAGGCAACAACCCAGAGGUUGACUCAGCUCCCUGUCUCCGUGCCCAUCUGCCCAUCUAUCAUCAUCUCUUAUUUCCAGCCAAGUGUUGAGCCAUGGGAAUCUAUGAGGUCAUUCCAAAUCUAACUCCUGUAACAGCUGCCAGCCACGCCGUCUAUUUGAUAAGCACUUCGAUUUCCAGCUAAGAUCCUUUCAUCAAAAAUCUCCAGGGGAGUAAAUUCAAUUUCCAUUUUCAAGUAUUUCAGGUGUUUUGCAAUAAACAUGCCGAGAUGCCAAUGUAAUGUUAAGGCCAUCACUGCAUGUUUCACAUUUAUGUUGAUUGUCUGGUUAUGAUCAUGCCAUAAAAUCUAAUGAACCCCAUUUGAACCCCCGUGGAAAAGGUGGGGAAGAGGCCAUGAGGUAAUAUACUUGAAAUAAGAAAGUUUCUUAAGAUUCUCGUGUGGUAAAUUUCAGGUAUACUUUUAGUUUUUUAAGAACUAGAAAAGCAU